AGCGAACGCUGGCGGCAGGCCUAACACAUGCAAGUCGAACGAAGUCUUCGGACUCAGUGGCGGACGGGUGAGUAACACGUGGGAACGUGCCUUUAGGUUCGGAAUAACUCAGGGAAACUUGUGCUAAUACCGAAUGUGCCCUUCGGGGGAAAGAUUUAUCGCCUUUAGAGCGGCCCGCGUCUGAUUAGCUAGUUGGUGAGGUAAAGGCUCACCAAGGCUACGAUCAGUAGCUGGUCUGAGAGGAUGACCAGCCACAUUGGGACUGAGACACGGCCCAAACUCCUACGGGAGGCAGCAGUGGGGAAUCUUGCGCAAUGGGCGAAAGCCUGACGCAGCCAUGCCGCGUGGAUGAUGAGGGUCUUAGGAUUGUAAAAUCCUUUCACCGGUGAAGAUAAUGACUGUAGCCGGAGAAGAAGCCCCGGCUAACUUCGUGCCAGCAGCCGCCGUAACAC
rnacentral:rRNA from 1 species